rnacentral:pre_miRNA from 1 species
CAGUUACUCCCUCCGUCCCAAAAUUCUUGUCUUAGAUUUGUCUAGAUACGGAUGUACCUAAUACUAAAACGUGACUUGAUACAUCCGUAUUUAGACAAAUCUAAGACAAGAAUUUUGGGAUGGAGGGAGUAUCUG